GCUUGUCUCAAAGAUUAAGCCAUGCAUGUCUUAGUGUAAAUAACUCUUAUGAAACUGCGAAUGGCUCAUUAUAUCAGUGAUAAUUUGGUUGAUGGAGAGAUAUCGUGGAUAACCGUGGUAAUUCUAGAGCUAAUACAUGCAGAGCAGACGCAAGUCUGGCAUUUAUUAGAUAAAGCCUUGGCGGCGGGGUAGCCCGUCGCUGCGGUGAGAGAUGAUAACUGGGCGGAUCGCGCUUUGGCGCGACGCAUCAAGGAAAUUUCUGCCCUAUCAACUGUGGACGGUAGGAUCGAGGCCUACCGUGGUGGUGACGGGUACGGGGAAUCGGGGUUUGAUUCCGGAGAGGGAGCCUGAGAGAUGGCUACCACUUCCAAGGAAGGCAGCAGG
rnacentral:rRNA from 1 species